CACACCGCCCGUCACACCAUGGGAGUUGGUUUGACCUGAAGACGGUGCGCUAACCCGCAAGGGAGGCAGCCGGCCACGGUCAGGUCAGCGACUGGGUG
rnacentral:rRNA from 1 species